ensembl:lncRNA
AAUUAAAGUGUGCCUGAUUCAUAAUUUUCUCCAUUUCUCGGCAGAGUAACUUUCUGCCCUGCCUUAUGUAUUGUGCACAGCUACCUCAGAAUUCAUUUUUCAGCUGUUAUUCAUACUUGAGUUGGGUGUUUCUGAAUGUAUUCUUCCUCACAGUAACUGUUGACAGGUCCAACCCUGUAACCAUCUGGCUCCUGAAGUAAUGAGACCAAAUGAAAUGGAGCUUGAAGAAAUUAACAUUCUUUCCUUAAUCUAUUAAUAACUGAGAAGUGUUGAUUUUGGUGACAGCUAGAUACUUUAUUAUGAGGCAUAUUGGUUAAUUAAGAGCAUCAUAAUGAAGGUUAUAGGAAUGUAUAUCCCUCCAGAAAUAUACAUAUUUUUAAUAAGCAUAAUUUCAUUCUUCUCACAGGCUCAAAAAAUUUAAAAAAAAAGCCAGUUGAAAAUGGUAUGCACAGAGAAAGUCUCAACAAAGACUAAACAGACAAUUUUGAAUGUGACUCCUCCUUGGAGGUUUCCAGAGGAACAGUGGAAGGAUAGAGGAAGGACAAAAUCAUUUCUUCUUCUUCUUGUUUCCUAUUCUUUUCAUCAUUCCUCUGGCAACACUACUCCUCAAUCCAUGAUCAGCAUAUUGUACCUGUAGUAGCAACUGUUUUGAGUAUGCAGGUCUAUAACAUUUUCAUAAGCAGAAUCACUGGCUCUCUCAGAGCACCAGCCAG